rnacentral:rRNA from 1 species
UGGGGAAUUUUGGACAAUGGGCGAAAGCCUGAUCCAGCAAUGCCGCGUGUGUGAAGAAGGCCUUCGGGUUGUAAAGCACUUUUGUCCGGAAAGAAAUCCUUGGCUCUAAUACAGUCGGGGGAUGACGGUACCGGAAGAAUAAGCACCGGCUAACUACGUGCCAGCAGCCGCGGUAAUACGUAGGGUGCAGGCGUUAAUCGGAAUUACUGGGCGUAAAGCGUGCGCAGGCGGUUUGCUAAGACCGAUGUGAAAUCCCCGGGCUCAACCUGGGAACUGCAUUGGUGACUGGGCAGGCUAGAGUAUGGCAGAGGGGGGUAGAAUUCCACGUGUAGCAGUGAAAUGCGUAGAGAUGUGGAGGAAUACCGAUGGCGAAGGCAGCCCCCUGGGCAAUACUGACGCUCAUGCACGAAAAGCGUGGGGAGCAAAACAGGAUUAGAUACCCUGGUAGUCCACGCCCUAAAACGAUGUCAACUAGUUGUUGGGGAUUCAUUUCCUUAGUAACGUAGCUAACGCGUGAAGUUGACCGCCUGGGGAGUACGGUCGCAAG